GACGAACGCUGGCGGCGUGCUUAACACAUGCAAGUCGAACGGAAAGGCCCUGCUUUUGUGGGGUGCUCGAUUGGCGAACGGGUGAGUAACACGUGAGUAACCUGCCCUUGACUUUGGGAUAACUUCAGGAAACUGGGGCUAAUACCGGAUAGGAGAUCCUGCUGCAUGUUGGGGGUUGGAAAGUUUCGGCGGUUGGGGAUGGACUCGCGGCUUAUCAGCUUGUUGGUGGGGUAGUGGCUUUCCAAGGCUUUGACGGGUAGCCGGCCUGGGAGGGUGACCGGCCACAGUGGGACUGAGAUAGGGCCCAGACUCCUACGGGAGGCAGCAGUGGGGAAUAUUGCACAAUGGGCGGAAGCCGGAUGCAGCAACGCCGCGUGCGGGAUGACGGCCUUCGGGUUGUAAACCGCUUUCGCGUGUGACGAAGCGUGAGUGACGGUAAUGGGUAAAGAAGCACCGGCUAACUACGU
rnacentral:rRNA from 1 species